UACGUAGGGUGCGAGCGUUAAUCGGAAUUACUGGGCGUAAAGCGUGCGUAGGCGGUUUUGUAAGACAGAGGUGAAAUCCCCGGGCUUAACCUGGGAACUGCCUUUGUGACUGCAAGGCUUGAGUGCGGCAGAGGGGGAUGGAAUUCCGCGUGUAGCAGUGAAAUGCGUAGAUAUGCGGAGGAACACCGAUGGCGAAGGCAAUCCCCUGGGCCUGCACUGACGCUCAUGCACGAAAGCGUGGGGAGCAAACAGG
rnacentral:rRNA from 1 species